AGUCCUUGCCCUUUUGAGUUCCUGUCCUGACUUCCUUCAGUGAUAGACUGAAAUAUGGAAUUGUAAAUUAAGAGAAUAAAGAUGACUAACUAUGAACUCUUCAGCCAUUUGGAAGUAUUUGUUAGAAUUUAGACCUGCUUGCCACCGUUCUCCAUUUCUCUGAAAUCAGGGCACACUUCACACACCCCUUUCUGUGAUGCACAGAAUUGUUGAAACUCUACUGAGCUUUGGACUCAAAUACAUUAUGUCUGGACUUCAAGGUAAGUUAAUGGUUCUCCUGGAAUCUUUAUUCUGAAUCCAUGCUGCUUGACUAGCCCAGUUUAACUACAUUAGUUCUUCCAGGCACACUCUGAAAACCUAUAACAUAUAAAAGGUCUGUGUUUUCUCCUAGGUUUUCUAAAGAGAAACAGAAAACUCCCAUAACUUUAGGUUUCCUACCAUAGUGUAGAAGGUAGCUAUAUCUCCUAUACUGUAACUUUAACUUCAUGUCCUAGUGAAGUUUUGUAAGGUCAGAGCUUUGUUGCUCUUCAAAAUCUCACCUUGCCUUUAAGGUUCCUAUCAAGCCUUUUUAUGCUUUAAGAUUCAAUCACACUCCCUCCCUAACCCUCUAGAUUACAGCAUUCUUACCUAAUAAAGUUCAUUCUGUGUGUUAUUUGUAAUCAAUUAUUUUUUCCAAACAUGCUAAUAUCUAACCAAAUUUCUGAUAAAUAGGUACCAUCUAAAGGUCAUCUCUUGCUGGAAUUUAAUCUCACAUGAUGGCAGGGAUACGUGAAGGUACUGCUAUAAUCAAGAAUCUUCUGCCCAUGGUCAUUAAAUUUCUAAAUCCUUGUGUUAGGCAUACUGACCUAACUGAUACAUACUGAUCAAUAUUGUGGUUCACAGGAAUAUUGUUUCCUUUCCUACCCUGGCAUCUUGCAUAUUUUUUUUCUGGUACUAUGCAGACAAUCAUUCAAAGAAGACUUUCAGCAUUGAAACACAGGGAGUGUACUAUUAUGUGGCAUACCUUGUUGAAAGAAGAGCAUCACUGUGAGGAGGUUGGGAUUGGAGUCUCAUAUGCUCUAUCUGCAUCCAGGGUGGCACACUAUCUCCUUCUGCUGCCUGCAGAUCAAGCUGUAGAUCUUUAGGCUCUUCCAGUACCAUGUUUGCCUGCAUACUCCAUGCUUCUCACCAUAAUGGUAAGAAUAGACUAAACCUCUUAAAUGUAAGCCCAGCCCAAUUAAUUGUUUUCCUUUUAAGACUCUUCACAGAAACAGAACCCCAACUUUGACACUGGUAGUAUACUUAGAAAAGCAUUUCUUUGGGUGCCAAUAUUGUAAAGUUGAAGAUAGCACUCAAGACAUGAAAAGCCUUAUAUAAAUGGUCUCACUGUGACAACACCGCAUCUUAUCAUUUUGAACAGUUGAUAUAAAUGUUUUAUAAACAUAUUACAAAAAUAAAGCUCAAAUCUGUAUGCUCUGUGGAAAAAAAAAGAAUAAAUUUCCAAAUGUUCUUAAUUAUAACCUUUCCAGCAAUAGUAACAGAUAAUUCUUAGUAUAAUUUUUUUCCUG